CUUGACCGAGCCGAGCCACAGCGGCCGGCCGGGCGGACGCGACUGCCCGUAGGCGGCCAGCAGGGCCUGCGCCUC
rnacentral:antisense_RNA from 1 species